UACGGAGGAUGCGAGCGUUAUCCGGAUUUAUUGGGUUUAAAGGGUGCGUAGGCGGGCUUUUAAGUCAGCGGUAAAAAUUCGGGGCUCAACCCCGUCCGGCCGUUGAAACUGGGGGCCUUGAGUGGGCGAGAAGAAGGCGGAAUGCGUGGUGUAGCGGUGAAAUGCAUAGAUGUCACGCAGAACCCCGAUUGCGAAGGCAGCCUUCCGGCGCCCUACUGACGCUGAGGCACGAAAGUGCGGGGAUCGAACAGG
rnacentral:rRNA from 1 species